rnacentral:rRNA from 1 species
UGGGGAAUAUUGCACAAUGGGGGAAACCCUGAUGCAGCGACGCCGCGUGAACGAAGAAGGUAUUCGUAUCGUAAAGUUCUGUCCUAUGGGAAGAUAAUGACAGUACCAUAGAAGAAAGCUCCGGCUAAAUACGUGCCAGCAGCCGCGGUAAUACGUAUGGAGCGAGCGUUGUCCGGAAUUAGUGGGCGUAAAGGGUACGCAGGCGGUUUAAUAAGUCGAAUGUUAAAGAUCGGGGCUCAACCCCGCAAAGCAUUGGAAACUGGUAAACUUGAGUAGUGGAGAGGAAAGUGGAAUUCCUAGUGUAGUGGUGAAAUACGUAGAUAUUAGGAGGAAUACCAGUAGCGAAGGCGACUUUCUGGACACAAACUGACGCUGAGGUACGAAAGCGUGGGGAGCAAACAGG